UAUAUCCAACGUUUACUAUGCU
rnacentral:siRNA from 1 species